UACGUAGGGUGCGAGCGUUGUCCGGAAUUAUUGGGCGUAAAGAGCUCGUAGGCGGUCUGUCGCGUCGAAUGUGAAAACCCGGGGCUCAACUCCGGGCUUGCAUUCGAUACGGGCAGGCUAGAGUUCGGUAGGGGAGACUGGAAUUCCUGGGUGAGCGGUGAAAUGCGCAGAUAUCAGGAGGAACACCGGUGCGGAAGGCGGGUCUCUGGGCCGAUACUGACGCUGAGGAGCGAAAGCGUGGGGAGCAAACAGG
rnacentral:rRNA from 1 species